rnacentral:rRNA from 1 species
GUGGGGAAUAUUGGACAAUGGGGGGAACCCUGAUCCAGCCAUGCCGCGUGUGUGAAGAAGGCCUUUUGGUUGUAAAGCACUUUAAGCGAGGAGGAGGCUACCGAGAUUAAUACUCUUGGAUAGUGGACGUUACUCGCAGAAUAAGCACCGGCUAACUCUGUGCCAGCAGCCGCGGUAAUACAGAGGGUGCAAGCGUUAAUCGGAUUUACUGGGCGUAAAGCGCGCGUAGGUGGCCAAUUAAGUCAAAUGUGAAAUCCCCGAGCUUAACUUGGGAAUUGCAUUCGAUACUGGUUGGCUAGAGUAUGGGAGAGGAUGGUAGAAUUCCAGGUGUAGCGGUGACAUGCGUAGAGAUCUGGAGGAAUACCGAUGGCGAAGGCAGCCAUCUGGCCUAAUACUGACACUGAGGUGCGAAAGCAUGGGGAGCAAACAGGAUUAGAAACCCUUGUAGUCC